rnacentral:rRNA from 1 species
UGGGGAAUCUUGCGCAAAUGCGGGAAACCGUGACACAGCGACGCCGCGUGGGGGAAGAAGGCCUUCGGGUUGUAAACCUCUUUCAGGAGGGACGAAGCUACUCGGGUUAAUAUCCCAGAGGGUGACGGUACCUUCAGAAGAAGCCCCGGCUAACUACGUGCCCGCAGCCGCGGUAAUCCGUAGGGGGCUAGCGUUGUCCGGAUUUAUUGGGCGUAAAGAGCGUGUAGGCGGCCUGGUAGGUCUGCUGUGAAAACUCGAGGCUCAACCUCGAGCUGUCGGCGGAAACCACCUGGCUAGAGUCCGGAAGAGGAGAGUGGAAUUCCUGGUGUAGCGGUGAAAUGCGCAGAUAUCAGGAAGAACACCUAUGGCGAAGGCAGCUCUCUGGGACGGUACUGACGCCGAGACGCGAAAGCGUGGGGAGCGAAC